AUGGAAAACAAGUUAGACAUAUUGGAUGGUGGUGGUGAUGAGACAGAGGUUAAGAUGGGCAGAGGCAAAUCUCUCAAAGAGAAACAAGUCAUGGUUCUGGAGACCCAGCAGCAGCCGAUGGAUGUGGCAAACAAGUUAGACAAAUUGGAUGGUGGUGCUAAUGAGCCAGAGGUUGAGAUGGAUGGACGCAAAUCCCUCUUGGUGGAACAGGUCGAGGAUAUGGCAAACAAGUCGCACAUAUCACUCUCGGAGGAAAGGGAAACCUGGAAGCAGCAGCAGUCUAUACUCUUUUCAAAGCUCGAAUCCUGUGUGCAGGUGCUCAAAGAGAUGAUGGAGGCAGGCAGAGGCGCGGUCAACUUCUACCCUGAGAUGCAGAUUGAAGAGUUGUCAGCAGUGUAUCACAGGACAAGUGAAGCAAUUCGUAACUUGCACUUUCUUUUAAAGAGUAUACCUAAUUGGGUGUGGGAUGAGGUGGAGGGGAAGCAAAUGGCCAAGGCAGGAAUGGAAGUCAGAGCGAAACCCUUCAUGGAGAAGCAGGUGAUUGGUCCAUUGCCUCGUGAGACGGAUAUGGAAGGGGGAUCCAGGAAGCAGCAGCAGUCUCAACUUCUUCCUUGUGGCCUUCAGAUUCAGAGUAAUGAUCAGUCUCUUGGCAGUAAGAAGGGGAAACACGGGGGUCGUAAGAAGGGGAAACAUGAGGGGCAUAAGAAGGGGAAAUAA
rnacentral:rRNA from 1 species